rnacentral:lncRNA from 1 species
GUGUUUCAGAGGACGCAUGGCUCUCGACCUUCGCCUCUCCCGAGUCCGUACGUAGGGAAGUAGUUGCAGUGAUGGGACAAGACUAUAACUACCAAUUGGAUAUCACCAAAUUGGGGAGAUAUUUUUUAUUUUUUUGCAUUGUAUUGAAAGCAGAACUAAAAUCAAUAAAUCAAUGUGUGCAUAUGAUUUUGCAUGUUGUAGGUGACUAACCACCAUGUUCACCAAGACUAAUAGAUAGAUCUGAUAUCAUGCAUGAAGAACUUUUAAUGUCCCUGAAUAUGUGGAUGUUACUCUGACUUGUAGUAACAGACCAUGAUACAAGGCUUAUCUACAUAAUCCCAGAAGGUCAUUAUUACAUCAUCCCAGAAAGUCAUUAUUACAUCAUCCCAGAAGGUCAUUAUUACACCAUCCCAGAAGGUCAUUAUUACAUCAUCCCAGAAAGUCAUUAUUACAUCAUCCCAGAAGGUCAUUAUUACAUCAUCCCAGAAGGUCAUUAUUACAUCAUCCCAGAAGGUCAUUAUUACAUCAUCCCAGAAGGUCAUUAUUACAUCAUCCCAGAAGGUCAUUAUCCCAGAAGGUCACACAAGCUCAAGUAUACAGUACAAAUAUGAUAAAAAUAUGAAAUAUUUCAUAGGAUCCAUUUCCUUUUCAACAAAACUGUAUGUAAAAGGCUUGCAUUGACUUAUAUGCUUUCUAAAUUUAGUAUAAUCACAUUAUAAAACUACUAACUCUAAGAUGUCACUUUCUGUAAAACUAUAAAAUACAUAUUUGUAUGUUAAGUGUUAGAGAAAAUGUGCAUUUGUUUUGCAUAUGUGCAAUGACUUUCAAUGAUGCGCCAUUUCUAAUGAACCAUUGAAAGUGACAACACAAAAGUACAAAGAUCUUUUAUAGCCAAGAUACAUCCCUCUCAACCUACAUGACGAACCACAGAUCUUAGGAACAGUCCACAAAGGAAGACUUUAUAAUGAGAAAAGAGUAUCCCUUAGCCAGAUAGCAUUCGCUAUAAAUUAUCAUUCAGUUUGGUCCCUAAGACGAGGUUCUAAUCUCGUUCCUGGAACUUCAUAGCACAAAAACAUUACCUCAUGUUAUUCUGGAAUGCUCUUUAGGUUUUAUCACCCAAAGACAUCGUAAAUCUCCUCUGUCAGUGUUAUCUCAUAGAGUCCCAUCCUCAGUAGAACACACACACACAAUAGUUAACAGAAUACUCUAUUCUGUCGAAUAAAACAACCAUUAUAAUACAAUACAAGCACUAUAACAUAAUCUUGCAAUUUUCCACGACAGGUGUUUGAACCCAGAGCGGAGGUAAACGCUUUACAGCAUCUCUAUCUAUGUACGGUUCCCUCCAUCCAGACAAUGUGGGGUUAUAAAACAAUAGUUCAUAGUGUAUUUGUAUCAGGAUACAAUCCAUUGAGCGCUGCUCCUGCGUGAUUGACUUAACGUUAAACGCAAGAGAUGUCGACUCACUUGGAAAUGACCUUGAAAUGUCAAGCGUGCUACAGAAUGGCCUUAAUGGAGAAUGUUUAAACUGAGAUCAGAAUCUGACAAACUAUUGGCCUACAAAUAAAAUGAUGCUGUUUAGAAAUUGUCGUAACUUGCAGAAUUCUGAGAUCAAUUAUCUUUACCUUGAUGAUGGUCAAUUAUUGGAGUACAAACACAUGGACAUCGAUACCAAUGAGCAUCUGACAAUUUGAAAUCUGCAACAGCUUGGUUUGUUAUGUGUUACUGACAAGGCUGGAGACUCAGAAAACACUUCCUCUGAUCUGGUGGUAUGUCUUCAGGUCAAACAUGUACAGCUUCCCCUUCUGAAGUCAGCAACACAAAAAAAAAGCCCAGCGCUGACCAAUGUGCAAGUGACACUUUGGCUUCUGAGAGAAGCUCAGUUAGCUUUUGAUCUCCUCCACUAGAGAAUAUGGUCAUUCAGUUUGUUCAGACAGCGGAACAGAUUGAUGCACCUCUCUGGAGAGGGGAUUCUCCCUGAUCUUCUCCUUGAUGUAGUUCACCGUUUCCUCAUUGGUCUGUGAGCUGCUUCCUGUCUGUGUCAAUAGGCCUUGUAAGAGAGUAUGAUUGGACUCCAGUGAGAGGCCCAAGAAGGAAGCAGAAGAUAAGGUCCAGCUGUCCAUUCUUACUCUGUAAGGCCAUGUCUUAUAGCGGUGUGUCUUCAGACAUCUGAAGUUUUCUGGUUGGGGGGGGUGGGUUUUCUUGCUUGGUUAAUAUAUUUACAUUGUCUUUGGUGAAUGUGACAAACACAGCAGCAAGAAACUCCUGGAUGCUCAGAUGAACAAAGCUGAACACUGACACUUCUCUCACAUCAAUGCCACUCUCUCUUAGGUCUUCCUCAUAGAAGAUCGGAUUGCUUUUCUCCAGCUGAUGGAAGGCCAGUCUUCCACGCCAGCUUCAGAAUCUCUUCAUCCAGUUUCAUGUGUGAAUCUGUCUCGGCUUUCUCUUGUCCCCCAUGAAUAUUUCUGGGUUUUGUGUAAUACGUUGUAGUUCAACAAGUGUGAGUACAUCUCAGUCAGAGUGUUGUGCAUCUCUCUCUGCUUCUCCCAAAAGUAUCUCUACAACAGUGGUAGAGAUCCAACUAAAGAUUGCACAUGACGUAGGGGCUCCUUGAUGCCUUUAUGUGUGUGAUGAUUCUGCUGGGGCCAGGUUCUCAUCACUGAUUCUCUUCCUAAAGUACUUCCCCUUCUGUGGGUCGAUGAACACUCAGGGGGGGGAUUGAUUGGCUGCUGCAGAAUGGUAGAUUAUCCACAAGAGAGCAGAGGUAGGCAGAAUCCCCUUGAUGAGGUUUGUCAGAUGAGUUUGAAUCUGUGACGUCACAACAGCUCUUGUUGCUCUGGAAGUCUUGAGGAAGUCGGCACUCAUCCAGACCAUCAAAGACAAACAGAAAGUUAUACUUGUCAAAGUUGGUUUCCAUAGAGAAGUGAUUAAAAAAUUAAAAAUCCCAAAAAGAGAAUACCAAUUUCAUGUAAUUUUCUCUUCCUUCAGCCCAGUCCAAAAGGAACUUCACUACAGAGUGUUUUUAAGAUGCCAGCGACUCCUUUUUUGUCAGCACAUUUCUGAUUUUGUUUGUCUGAUCCAGGUAAAAGCUCAAAGAUGUCGCUGGUCUUCUAGAUGCUGCCUCAUAUCUGUCUUACCUCAUGUUCUGUAUUGACCUGUGACCUCUGUAACUUACCCAGUUAAAUACAAAAUAGACAAUUCAAAUCAAGUAUAUAUGUUAAUGCUUUAUUUUCCAGUCCUCUAGUAACGUGGAAUUUACUUACGAGACUACGAACUAACAGCGUCAACUACAGUGUAAAACGUAGACGAGCAUCCGCACUGGAGUAAAGUUGAUCGUUCUAUAGUAGGCCUAGAUCUGUCAAUCAACUGAUGGCUCAAAUCAGCCCAUCAAAUCAGCCAGGGGGGGGAAACUCAAACAGUAGCCUAUUAUCCGUUUUCACACCUUUCAUUAUGUGAUAGUGGAUAGGCUAAAUGGUAGCCUAUAGAAUGAUUUGCAACCAUUAUUGGUCACCUUCAUUACCUCUCUUCGUUCUGCUUGCAAUCACAAAGUCUUCCAAGAUACACUGAACAAAAAUAUAAAACGCAACAUGCAAGAAUUUCACUGAGUUACAAGUCAUAUGAGGAAAUCAGUCAAUUGAAAUAUUCAUUAGGCCCUAAUCUAUGGAUUUCACAUGACUGGGACUAUAGAUAUGCAUUUUUUU